CCGGGACCAUCCGGUAAGGCUAAAUACUCCCGAGAGACCGAUAGCGAACCAGUACCGUGAGGGAAAGGUGAAAAGCACUUCGAACAGAAGAGUGAAAUAGUUCCUGAAACCGUGCGCCUACAAGCGGUCGGAGCUCGUUAAUGAGUGACGGCGUGCCUUUUGCAUAAUGAACCUACGAGUUGCCUUUGCCGGCAAGGUUAAGUGUGACGACACACGUAUCCGAAGCGAAAGCGAGUCUGAACAGGGCGUAUAGUCGGCAGUGGCAGACGCGAAACCAAGUGAUCUACCCUUGGCCAGGUUGAAGGCUGGGUAACACCAGCUGGAGGACCGCACCAAUAAGCGUUGAAAAGCUUCUGGAUGAGCUGAGGGUAGGGGUGAAAGGCUAAUCAAACUUGGAGAUAGCUCGUACUCCCCGAAAUGCAUUUAGGUGCAGCCUUGCGGGUUACUGAUGUGAGGUAGAGCGACUGAUAAGAUGCGAGGGCUUCACCGCCUAUCAAGUCUUGACAAACUCCGAAUGCGCAUCAGUUCUACCGCAGGAGUGAGGGCAUGGGUGCUAAGGUCCGUGCCCGAGAGGAGAAGAAUCCGGACCACCUGCUAAGGUCCCGAAAUGACAGCUAAGUUAAACUAACGAAGUCUGACUGCUAAGACAGCUAGGAUGUUGGCUUGGAAGCAGCCAUUCAUUUAAAGAGUGCGUAACAGCUCACUAGUCGAGGAGUCGGGCGUGGAUAAUAAUCGGGUAUCAAGUUGUCUACCGAAGCAGUGGGAUCAUUAAUAUGAUCGGUAGGGGAGCAUUCCAGUCAGCGUCGAAGGCGUACCGUGAGGUAUUCUGGAGCGUCUGGAAAAGCAAAUGUAGGUAUAAGUAACGAUAAAGGGGGCGGGAAACCCCCUCGCCGAAAGACUAAGGUUUCCUGAUCAACGCUAAUCGGAUCAGGGUCAGUCGGGUCCUAAGGCUCAGCCGAACGGCGAUGCCGAUGGCAGAAACGGUUAAUAUUCCGUUACUACCUUCAGGAGUGACGUGGAGACGCAGUAGUGACAGUGCCGCCAUCUGACGGAAUAGAUGGUUGAAGGGUGUAGGAGUCGAUCAUGGCAGGCAAAUCCACCAUGAGAUCCGAACCUGACAGUAUGCCGCGUCCUUCGGGACAAGGCAAUAGUGCGCGUAAGCAUGCUGCCGAGAAAAUCCGCUAAACUUAAUCCUGCAGGUACCCGUACCGCAAACGGACACACGUAGUCGGGAUGAAUAUUCUAAGGCGCUUGAGUGAUUCACGGUUAAGGAACUAGGCAAACUGACCCUGUAACUUCGGGAUAAAGGGUCCCUACCCUUUUAUGGGAGGGCGCAGAGAAUCGGUCCAGGCAACUGUUUAACAAAAACACAGGGCUGUGCCAAAUCGAAAGAUCCAGUAUACAGCCUGACACCUGCCCGGUGCUGGAAGGUUAAGAGGAGAUGUCAUCGAUAAGAGAAGCGUUGAAUUGAAGCCCCAGUAAACGGCGGCCGUAACUAUAACGGUCCUAAGGUAGCGAAAUUCCUUGUCGGGUAAGUUCCGACCUGCACGAAUGGUGUAAUGAUCUGGACGCUGUCUCAACCGUGAGCUCAGUGAAAUUGUAGUAUCGGUGAAGAUGCCGAUUACCCGCGAUGGGACGAAAAGACCCCGUGAACCUUUACUAUAGCUUAUCAUUGAAUCUGGGCACGUGAUGUGUAGGAUAGGUCGGAGGCUUUGAAGCAGGUACGCCAGUAUUUGUGGAGCCGCUGUUGAAAUACGACCCUUUAUUUGUUUGGAUUCUAACCCGUGGAUACGGGGACAUUGAUUGGUGGGUAGUUUGACUGGGGUGGUCGCCUCCAAAAGCGUAACGGAGGCUUCUAAAGGUGCCCUCCGGCCGAUUGGUAACCGGCCUUAGAGUGUAAUGGCAUAAGGGCGCUUGACUGGGAGACU
rnacentral:rRNA from 1 species